AUUGAACGCUGGCGGCAUGCCUAACACAUGCAAGUCGAACGGGGCAGCAAUGCCUAGUGGCGGACGGGUGAGGAAUACGUAGGAAUCUGCCCUUAAGUGGGGGAUAACCAGGGGAAACCCUGACUAAUACCGCAUGAUCUCUUCGGAGCAAAGAGGGGGACCGCAAGGCCUCUCGCUUCGGGCUGAGCCGACGUCUGAUUAGCUAGUUGGUAGGGUAAAGGCCUACCAAGGCGACGGACAGUAACUGGUCUGAGAGGAUGAUCAGUCACACCGGAACUGAGACACGGUCCGGACUCCGACGGGAGGCAGCAGUGGGGAAUAUUGGACAAUGGGCGCAAGCCUGAUCCAGCAAUGCCGCGUGUGUGAAGAAGGCCUUCGGGUUGUAAAGCACUUUAGCCUGGAAAGAAAAAACUUUGGUUAACACCCAAAGUCUUGACGGUACCAGGAGAAUAAGCACCGGCUAACUCUGUGCCAGCCGCCGCAGUAAAAC
rnacentral:rRNA from 1 species